AAUGGGAUAGCUGGGUCAAAUGGUGGUUUUACUCCAGGUUUUCUAAGGAAUCUCCGUACUGCUUUACAAAGUGGUUGCACCAAUUUGCAGUUCCACCAGCAAU
rnacentral:pre_miRNA from 1 species